rnacentral:rRNA from 1 species
CCUACGGGUGGCAGCAGUGGGGGAUAUUGCACAAUGGGGGAAAGCCUGAUCCAGCGACGUCGCGUGAGUGAAGAAGUCUUUCGGUAUGUAAAGCUUUUUUAGUAUGGAAGUAAAUCACAGUACCUGACCACGAAGCUCCGGCUAACUACGUGCCAGCAGCCGCGGUAAUACGUAGGCGGCCAGCGUUAUCCGGAUUUACUGGGUGUAAAGGGAGCGUAGGCGGUUUUUUAAGUCUGGAGUGAAAGCCCGGGGCCCAACCCCGGGACUGCUUUGGAAACUGUGUAACUGGAGUACAGGAGAGGCAGGCGGAAUUCCUGGUGUAGCGGUGAAAUGCGUAGAUAUCAGGAGGAACACCGGCGGCGAAGGCGGCCUGCUGGACUGAAACUGACGUUGAGGCUCGAAAGCGUGGGGAGCAAACAGGAUUAGAUACCCGGGUAGUC